AAAGCUAGUAGGGAACUGCAACCAGAGAGAGAGUUCUAGUGAGUCCAGACUCUUUCUUUCGUUCAUCAAAGCGAAGCAUGGCUGCAAUCCCAAACUCAUCCUUUUUUCCGCGAGCAAUCUACGUUUGUGAUCUCGUAUAUUUCGCUUCUCCGACAUCUUACUUAGUUUCCCCCUCAUAUUUUAGCAAAAAGCCGCUCCACAGUAGUAAAGUCUCAUCUUUUGUAUUGGCCGAAGUGACAAUAGUCACAUUACAAAGCAGAGCCCUCGUGAAUACACGUACCAUUAAUGAAGGAACAGCUAGUACUAAUUAUAUGAGGGAAUACUAAUUAUCUAUUCUUAUGUAUUCUCUCACAAUCACUCCUAGCAAUAAGUGAAAAGGCGGCUAUCGAUACUGUCCCAACAACCUCCUCUCAAUUGAUCCCUCGUUACUGCCCAUAGGAGAAGUAAUAGGUAGGGAUGACAGGAUUUGAACCCGUGACAUUUUGUACCCAAAACAAACGCGCUACCAAGCUGCGCUACACUCGUGAAGGUAAUGAAAUUAUCCGAUCAGCUUGCAAAUGGAGUCCUGAACUAGCCAGGUCUCGUUCUUAUAUGCUACCUAGAAUUAUUUAGAACUUAAAUCUUUAAGCAUGUGCUUAGUCAAGGAGGAAACUACUAAAGAACAAAGAAGUCGUCUUUGGUCAGUGAACCAACUUUUGCCGAGCCCCAUUGCCAACUCUAAAUUACAUUCAUUUCACCAGUCCGCCAAUCCAAUUAGGAUUCCCAUCGGUUGCAUCGCUCCUGCUCGCAGUAGUCGUUUCUUCUCCGGUGAAUCAAUUUCUUCUAAACAGAAUAAGGGCGGCAUCCUGCUCUCGACUAUCUCUGCCGCGGAAUGGGAUCGCUUGCCAGCUAGGCCCUCUAGAAAAAAGUUGGAGCAACAUUGUAUGAACUCUCGGGUUUGGAACAGAUAAGUUCUGUACGGAUAACAAAGAAUAGAAAUUGGAGAGCAGGUGCCCUUCCCUGGUUGUUACCUUCCCAGCCCCAAAGGAAAAGCCCUGAUCAUUUGAAAAAAAAGAAGCCAUGCAUGCCGACACGUUUUAACAGAUCAGUAGCAUACUUCUCUUGAGUCAAGAUAAUUCCAUCAUGAACUUUAUUAACUUCUAUGCCCAAGAAAUAGUGCAACGCACCAAGAUCCUUAAGGGCAAAUUCUUCUUUCAAAUCUUGAAGUAAUGCCGAAGUUGCUUUUUCACAAGAACUAGCAACAAUGAUGUCAUCAACAUAUAUCAACACAAAUAUGGAGAUUGUACCUUUCUUGUAAAAGAAGAGCGAAGCAUCUGCUUUUGACGGUUGAAAUCCAAGCCUAGCUCGUUAUUCUUUGAGAUAUGGAUAGAGUCUCGCUUCGGGGCGGGGGAAGCAGCAAGCGUAGGCUAAAAAGAGGUGGGUCGGUUUAGUCAUCAGCUCAAGAGGACAGGGGAGAGAUAGGAGACAAAAAGAGGCAAAGUGAGGCCCGCCCAAGCAAGUGGUUUGUUUUUGAGAGAGAAGUGUUUUCUUUGGAAAAGAAGAGCUCUUUCUAAGUUGACUUGCUCUGUUCGUCCGCUGUCAGAUCAAAACGGGUAGGGAUCGGCCCAGCCUAGAACAACUCGCUUCUCAUAAAAACGAAUCCCUUUGUGCCUGGAAGAAAUGCAAAGGGGAAUGCUGGGUCAGAGCCAAAGAAUGUGAACUAUACAAGUUCACAAUACCCUUUGAUGAAAUGAAAGAAAGGGUUCCGGUGUAUAGAGAGGGCCUGCGGACGGCUGUCCGAAGUGCAUGCAAUGACGGGCUCGGAUAGGAUAGGGUUGUGCGUGCCGGGCCCUUCGGGUGUCCAUAUUUUGGCCGACCCAUCCUAGUCUUUUGCGACACAGCUGGUUUACUUAUUUUGUUAGGUCUCGACUUCUCCGCUAUGAUCUCCCCAGUAGUUCAUAUAGGAGCUAUUGCCGUUUCAUUCCUAAGCAAGCUGGAGCACCUUUCACUCUCGGGCAUAAAGGCUUUUAUCCAAUUCAUUCACAGGAAGGGUAGAAGGAGCUUCAAAGCUUUUAGCCGGCGUUGGAGCUCAGACGGUGCAGUUAGUAUUGACCACUACCGCCAAGUCCAUAAUUAAAAAAUUGAUGAAGUCCACAUAAUGGAGCUCAAAAGCCGAUUAAAAAAUCUACUUUUUGAGCAUCUUGAAACCGCACAUAAAAAAUAUUAUGAAUGAAUCACCUUACAAUAACAUACGAGAGACAGCUUUCGAUUUUUUCGAACAACAAGUCGAACCCAAUGAACAAUUCCAUUCAAAGGAAUGUUCUAGAGGGGGCCCUUUUCCGCUAUAUUCGCGAUAUUGAACAAAAUGGAAGAAAUUCUUCACGAUUUCUAGAGUUCCGGGAUUACUUCACGGAAGAUCGGGUUAAAAAAUUCUAAAGCUUUCGUCUCAAUUCAUAUUUAGCCGCGAGCAAUCUACGUUUGUGAUCUCGUAUAUUUCGCUUCUCCGACAUCUUACUUAGUUUCCCCCUCAUCUUUUAGCAAAAAGCCGCUCCACAGUAGUAAAGUCUCAUCUUUUGAAUUGGCCGAAGUGACAAUAGUCACAUUGAACCCUCGAAUAUGCUCGAAGAUCUCGAAAUGAUCUUCCAGUUCCGGGGAGAAUUCGCAAAACUCCGUUUCCAUAAAGAAUGCUAAAUGACAAUCUGAACCUACUUGCUUACAGGAUCUUUAAGAAAACUGUGGACUUUUGCACCUUUCUGUCUAGCUUGAGUUAUCUUUUAGUUCUCUCCCCUCGGCAAAGUGGAUAGGAAAGAGUCUUGCAGGUUGAUCAACAAGUAAAUCCUCCCGGAUAUGAAAAGACAAGAUCAAUAUGUCAGCUAGCUUACUAAUACGGCAGCUGCUUAAACUCAUGCUGUACCUACAUAUCUCAUUUGGCUAUCCUUACCUAUUGGCUAUCCCAGGUGACCUUACACCUAAUGGACUAAUGCCAAGCUUGAAACUCCUAUGUAGAGGGAGCUAUCUCGCCUAUGUUUACGUUGCAAUGCUACUCCUCUGUUCUGUUUCUAGUGCGGUUAUGUGUAUUACAAGUUUUAAUAAGAGCGCACUACUCAUCCCAUGGGAGAUGGAGCCAUAGAGAAAUCCAAUCGUCAAAAUCAAUAAAAAGGCCAUCAUGGACCAAGAUCCAAACAGAUCAAUCUUGUUAGGAGGUACUGCCCAAGGAAAAAAAAAGGUGACGUUAUGGUAUUGACUACGAAGAGACUUUCAGUCCUGUAGUCAAGGCGGCCACAAUUAGACUAAUAUUGUCACUAGCAGUCGAUGACAUAGAUAGAGCCUCCUUCUUUGAUCCAUUCAUUGAUAACAAUCAAUAAACAUCUUCAACCAAUCCAAUACAAAUACUGAAAAAGAAGCAGUCUACCAACUUUUCUUUCACAAGGCCGCAGGCGCAAGGGAUGAGCGUGAAAUCCGUUGCUUGUUCUUUCGGUAGCCUUCUUUCAUUUCCGAAUUAGCUUGCGAGCAGUCCUUGCAUUAGUAUGAGUUCGUUGACCGCAUAAGGGCGAACAAAACGGAAUGUACCGGAUUUUUAGCACGUACAACCAUCAAACCAGAGACCAAAGCAGGGCUCGACAAAACUGAAAGUAUCAUGGUACGUCGUCCUCCCUUGAAAUGGAACUUGAAUGCUGGAGCAAGAAGACGCAUUCAAGUCGAUCUUAUUGCAUCACCCACACCUAAUUACAACAGUUGAAUGCUGUAUUUGCAUUUUGAUAUUGUACAUAGCUAUUUACUUCUAUUAUAAAUGUACCCUUGGUCGGAACUAGUUUUUUCGCUUUUUUAGCCGAUUUUUUACCUUUUUUGGACCCAUUCUAUAAAUGGAUGGAAGAAAUUAAACCAAUUCUUUCCCGCCAUAGGCGAAAAGUACUAAUUUUUAAUUCGCCUAAGGAAUUGGCAUUUUUCCGGGUUGUUUUAAAAAACAUUUGUUCCAGCCAUAGCGAAAAGUACUGAAAAUUCACUUUCCCUCGUAAAAAGGAAAAAACUGGGUGCAGAAAAAGGAAACUUUCUGUCCAGUCUGUGGCAAAAGUAAUACUUUUUCCAUUUUCCUUCGCGAUCGACCUUUCGGAUUUUAUAAACUAAGGAACCUGGUGAAAAAAGCAACCCUAUUAUUCCUGAGCAAAAGAAAGCUUACUACAGCACGGUCUUACGUCCAGGAUUGGAACAUUCCAUCUCUUCUUGUCCACUGGUAUAGAAAGAAUAUGCAUUUUCUUGACUGCUUAUUCAACGCCCUGCCGACUUGGAUACUGCUGGCUCUCUUGCAUUACGUGAUAGAAAUGAAAUGACAGAAGAACAAAGCAAGGGCUUUCAAUGCGCGAAAUCCGUUUCGAGUUAGAGUGCGAAACUUCUUGCUGCAGCCGUUUUAUUCGCUGCCAAUUGCACAUCAGGAGAAGAUGUCACUACAGAUCCUGCAACCUCAAGAGGGAGCAGCCUGUCCGUCCUAUUUAAAAGACUUUGGAUUUUUUUCUCCGGGGAUCGAGGUCUCAUUAGCCGAAGAAGACCCAGGCCAAUCCACGUGGCCUCUUUGACCAACGUCAGCGACAGAGACAUAGUAAAUUGGUCCGCGGGCAUCGCGAUAAGUCCUCUGUCCUACUACAGGUGCUGCGACAACCUUUACCAAGUCCAAACGAUUGUCAACUACCAGAUCCGCUGGUCCGCUAUAUUCACCCUAGCCAGCUAUCUCCUUUAUGAGUUUCUUCCUUUCUGAAAGUCACCACAGUGGAGAGUUACUAUCGACUUUCUCCAUGUGCCACUCGCCAGGGUUGAGUUGAGGGGGCAGCCCGUGCGCUAAUUGGGCUUCGAGGUUGGCUAUACGCGAAAAAAGCUCGCUUUCUACUGAGCUGUCCUAAACUGUUCCAGAAUGUUAUUUGUUUCAUAGGAAGAUUCCAAAAGCACAUUGUGAUGCCGAAAGAAUCUUCGUCGCCCUCAUUCCGUAGUUGAGUUCUUUCGCAUUUCUCGUAUAGUUUUUCGUGGAUUAGCAUCUCGAGGUUCUUUGAUGGGCAUAAAGAAAUUGUCUUGCUAGCAACCACCAAACCAAUAGAACAAAGGUUAGCUCUGCAGCUAGUCCACAUCUAUUUGUGCAUUCAAUGCUGCCAUUCCCCCGGCCCCAAAGGACAAGAUUGAGUCGCCGCUAUCACUUUUUUUGGGGGGCCAAUCCCGCGAAGAGUUAUGGAAAGAUUUUAUAGCUCGUCACAAGAAAGGAUUGAUGGUCGAGUCCCCGUGCAUGAAGUCAGUGGAUUCGAGUGAACUGACCGUACUACAAAUCGACAUACUUGAGGAAGCUUCUUACUAAACCAAAGAAAGGGCAGCUCCAGUUGUAUUGUCGAUUCCCUUCUCCCGAGAGCUUUCACACUCUGGGAUGGGAGUCCCUUCCAAGACUUGACCAAAAGCUUAUCUCUUGAAUCUAAAUUUAACAUUUUCCAAAACGCGGCUAGACCGAGGCAGAGCAAGAAUCGAGUUCCGUUAAAGGCCUAUGGUUUAACACCAUGCCUUUCCACUUUUCCGAAGUGGUAUGCUUAACCGCAUCCAGUUCUCUAUUUUCGUUUAUAGUUUAUCUGUGUUCAGUCAAAUCUGCGAACUCGACUAGAUAUUCUGCACAGGCCCUGGUGGGUUCUCCAUAGCGGAAGCAACCUCUGGGCCUUCCACAAAAAAAAACGAAAACAAACCAGAGAAGGAUCCAAUUAGAGUAGAGGAAAAAGCCUCCCUCCUCCUUCUGACAAUAUAAAGUCCCAAAAAAAUGAGGGAAAUAAAAAUAAAAAUAAGGUAAGGUCUAUCGGUCCACAAACUGCAGCCCAGGACGGGCGUCGUCAUCUAGGCGUGACUUCUUGUUUUGAUCUCCCCUACGCCUAGGACGUAGUCUGGGCCAAGAGCCAUAGUUAGUUGCUGUUUCCAUUUGGUUCUUCUUUCUCGUUGUUGAUACCGGCAAGACCCGAAUAGAAGAAGAGCAGUCGUCAAUUGAUUGAAAGUGGAUUGACGGCAUUCAUCAGUUGAUUGAAAAUGGACUUUUCUUUUAUGAUCGAGCGAGGUCCGUUUUUGGGCUUAAAAGUCCUUGUAAGCUUAUGCCUCAUCAUGGUUGGGAAGGUUAUAGUAGCUUCAGUCAUUGGAAUUACUCUAUUUCUAUAUAUAGGCCUUAUCCUUUUUGUUAUUGCGUUAUGGUAGAGGGAAAGAGAAAAGAAAGAAGAGAAAUUGGGCCAUGUUUCCCGAGAGAGACUGCCUUCUCUCAGGCCAGCAGUCUUAUACUUAUAGUCGACUGCUCUAUGACGAUCUGACCUCUUUCCUGGGCUCUGCUCGCUCGUCUACGCUCCUACCAAUUCAAGAGCAAUUCAAAUGCUUUGAUUGCUUAUCAGAUAAGAGGUAAAAAUAUUCUUCAUUCAUUUAUUUUUUUAAUGCCAAAUUUCAUUCAAAUCCAUUCUUAAAAAGGCAUAGUAGAGAAAGGCGGACCAGGCAAUCUCUGAGUUGAAAUCGAUCCCAGACAUCCAUCUCUUUCAAAAAGUUCUAAAGGCCGACUACUACAGGGUGCGUGCGCUGGGACUGAUCGGGACGACCUUGUCGGUCCUCACAUUCACGGAAUGAAGUCAACCUUAGAAAGUAGCCGAUCGGGACGAUCAUGCGUCUCAAGAGGAGAAGCAUGGACUGUUGCUAGCGCUCAUAAAUAUCCUUAUGACCCCUGAAGAUGGAGUUGUUUAGUGAAAAAAGGCCCAGCAGAGAGAACAGUCAAGAUAACUAGCGCGGAGUCCGCUUGGCAGGCGGCAGGAGCUGCGGGCAAGUGCUUGCUUGGUAGGCCAACAGCCCUGUGAACCGGGCGGGGCACCUCCGGUUAUAGAUGCCCUAACAAAACUUCAUAAGAAGAUAUCGCGAGAAAUAGUUGAGGAUCGAACUCUAUCUCAAAAGAGAAAUCGAUGUUUUACUACCAGUCACAAGCUUUAUGUUCGGCACAGUACUCAUACUGGAACUUACGAGCAAGAAUUGCGGAUAAGGGAAAGCCCGCUAUAUUAUAUAUAGUAAUCACCUGCCAAAAGGAAAGCCUGACCGAUAAUAAUAAUAGGUCUAUGCGCCGAACAAGCAAUGGUAUAUUAGAGAUAGUAAGGAGUUGUAUACACGGGGGUAUGCAUUCAUGUCACGCUUUCUGUGUGAUAAGAGGUUGCUAGCUAGCAAGUAUAGAAACAGGAGAUAUGCGUAGUUAACAGAAGCAAGGGAAUAUGCGUGAGUUGAUUUGAUAGUUUUUUUGAGAAAAAGCAAUUUCAUGAAGUUGGCCUUAGGUGUAAUAGGACUCCCAGUUACUGCGCGCGAUCGUAUACUGAGGUGCUCCCCGUCGGUUGUUGGAACGACGCGAGCCCCAAAAUAAUGUGACUUGGUCCCAAGGUAGAAAGUGAAGAACACUGAACAGAGCUGAAGCUGCAUGAUUAUGAAAUCCCCCAGGGCGCUUCUGAAGCCUCUUUCUAGUCCAAUCCCCCCACAUCGCGUAUAAAGGGAAUCGAACCCAACUCUUCCACUUGCCGCCAAUGCGGAAGGAUGCCACCAAAAAGAAAGGAGACUGAUCUUAACGUUGGCGUCGGUUUUUCCAAGAAAAGUUAGAUUUGAUUUGUCUUUUUCAUGCGGAACAGAACCGUAUUAGUAAGCGGGCCAGUUAACAGAAGCAAGGGAAUAUGCGUGAGUUGAUUUGAUAGUUUUUUUGAGAAAAAGCAAUUUCAUCUCAAGGGAAAGAUCAGAGGAGGAGAAGAAUGAAGGUGUGGGCGGGAAGGAGGAGGCAAGGCCCCCUCAAUGUUUAUUCGACUACUCAUUACGGAACCACCGAUUGAUCCGAUUAGACUUUCCGUGGUAUGUUGAGUUCUUGAAGCAUUGCCGAUAUCGAUAUAUAUUUCUUUGCAUGGGACAGUAGCCUUUUCUGCGGCGGAACAAGCUAAGAAGUGCAGGCGGCUCUUAUUUGAUAAGAUAAGGCAGAUGGUAUGAUCAAAUUCACUCUUGCGCUUUUUUUUGUAUUGAACGCAUGGCGUAGCUAGGACCCCUCCAAUCAUGUUUGAGCCUAUGUUCACCCGGGGUCCAAAAAGGAGAAUUCCGGAAUGCCUGCCGACGUUCAGAUAAAGUGCAUAUCCCUUACUACUAAAGGAAAGGCUCGACGAAGGGGGGGGAUUUUCCGGGUAAGGAAAAUGCUUUCGGAGAUUGAGAUGUCGAUUUGUUUUUCAUCGAAAAGGAAGAAGGCCGAGGGGAUAGCUGCCUUCCUUCGGGCUUUGCCUGCCGACAUUCUAAUAAAGAAUUCCGGCUCGGCCCGGGAAAGCGCUGGCAACAACAUAAAGAAAGGGGUCCAUGUAGCUGCUGCGCCCGCCCACUGAGCAGCAGGUUCGGCAUCUACUACAAAAGAGAGAAUCCACUUCAGAUAACCACGCCUCUGCUAGGCAGCGUGUGGAAUGGCCGGGAGCGGACCAAAUGGAUAUAUAAUCCAAGCCGAGAGUGGAGUUACGUGAACAGCCGUCUGAUGGAAAACAACUUUCGACUAGGAAAAUGAAGACAAAGGAAUUUGGAAUUACAAGACGGAUAUCAGCUUGCUACUUCUGACUUUGACUUUCAAUAGGGAGGUCAAAAACUAGCACUUUUUUCGAGGAGUGAUCAUGGUUGAUGUCUACUUGCCGGGCUGCCCACCUAAACCGGAGGCGGUUAUAGAUGCCCUAACAAAACUUCAUAAGAAGAUAUCGCGAGAAAUAGUUGAGGAUCGAACUCUAUCUCAAAAGAGAAAUCGAUGUUUUACUACUAGUCACAAGCUUUAUGUUCGGCGCAGUACUCAUACUGGAACUUACGAGCAAGAAUUGCUCUAUCAAUCACCAUCUACUUUAGACAUAUCUUCUUCAACUUUUUGAAAAUCCAAAAGUCCAGUAUCUUCCUACAAAUUAGUGAAUUUGCAGCAUUCUGAAUUCAUAAUUCGAACUGAUCAGCACAGUCUCGUGCAUUUAGAAGAUCAACGACUACACCUUGGCAGCAGAAGGCCUUCACUAAGUUUCUUGGACUUCAAUACCGACGCAAGGGAGCCAAGAAUGGAGCAGCUGAUGCUUUGUCCCGACGCAGCCAUAGAGUCGAUCUUGCAGAUAGGCGGAGGUAUGAUUGCUUGCUCCUUGCAUGUGAAGGUGGGAAACAAGGAAACAGCAGAAAUGCUUACUGGGACAUAGCCUUCGGUACGAGUUGAAGGGAAGAGGAUUGCUUGGAACCUCUAAGACAUGGCACCCCUGCCCCUUCCCGGCUACUGGAUCACUCCAGUGCUUCGGGUACUACGGACCCUCUGCCAUCCAUUGCAGCAGAGCCGUUUCAUGAGCGGGGGGGCUAAGCGCAGUUCUUUGAAUCAAAGGUUUUAUGAAAUCGAAAUUGAUUCUUUUUUAGAUAUCUGGAUAGAUGGAUGGGGCCUGGGAGUGAAUGUGGAAGCUUAACACUAGCAACGGGCAGAACAGUUGGUAAAGGAGAUCAUUGGCACUAUGGCGCAUGUAUGUUGAGUUCUUGAAGCAUUGCCGAUAUCGAUAUAUAUUUCUUUGCAUGGGACAGUAGCCUUUUCUGCGGCGGAUCGUUUCCUUUUCUCCAAUCAUAAAUAACCUGAUCUCUUUCUUUGUCUUUCAUCAAAUAAGUACAAGAAUUGCAUAGAUGAGGAUUCGGUAUUGAUCGCUAAAAUGCGAGAAAAAGACCCACGUUUCUCUGUUCGUCCGCUAUCAGAUCAAAACGGGUAGAAGCAGCUUGUUCUUUCGCGCUAGUGCGCUCAAUCCGUUGCUUGUUCCUUUCCUUUGGAUUUAUUAUCAUAAUAGCGUAGACAAAAGGUAGGACCAGAUCAUGCGAAGAACUCUUCGCCCUAUUGAUUAGGAAUCUCGAUUAGAAACCACCAGGCCAUGUCUCCCGAUAAAAGAUGAUCCCCACAAUGGAUGUCAGGCCUUGGCUUCAUAAAAUCUGAUUGGAUCCGCACUAGAGGAUAAGAAUACAGAUAGGCUGACUUAGAAGAUCUUAAAAUUGGCGUAGACAAAAGGUAGGACCAGAUCAUGCGAAGAACUCUUCGCCCUAUUGAUUAGGAAUCUCGAUCAGAAACCACCAGCCUCGAAUGGAGCAUUACGAGUGCAUGAUUGAGUUGUUUAGUAAGCAUGGUUGAUUUUUAAUCAUUUUUUUCCACCUUAAGGGCCCCAGAAACUUCUAGUUAUUCUCCAGUAGGAAAGGUUCUAGUGACAUUGCUGCUAUUGCUGGAAGUCCCGCAGCUUACUGCUCACGGAAACAUCCGACCUUAUGGUCAAGUCGUCCGCCUAUCUUUCUGAUCUCAUUCGUUUGUAGAUCGCAUAAAAAGCUCUUCGUUGUCUGAGAGGGCAGAAGGCAUCAGACUUGUAGUCUAAAUGCUGUGUAUCUGACAUACUUCAUUCUCUGUGCAGGGUACGAUUUCACUAUGGACAUCCUGAUGUGUUCGACAGGAUUUUUAUCUGGUGACUCCCUUCCCCCUUUUUUCCCAGAAUGAAUUCGCCCGACGCGACGAAUCCUGCCCUCCUGUCUUUCUUUCUCAUUGGCCCCGCUGCCGCUACUGCUCGAAAGCAUGACAGCUCCGCUUCCUCGUCUUGCUUCUACUUUGCUUGUUUGCGCGAAGGCUUAGAGUCCUUUUCGCUAGGUCCAAAUUCGUCAAAGUCGCCACGACGACUCUCCGUCGUGGAAUUAGACCAAGGGUCGAAGACCUAUACCAUAGGACCCCGUCCGAUUUCAGAGCCCACUUUAUUAAAAACUUCGAUUUGAAGCCGAGAACCCACCUAAAAACAAUCAUUUGACUAAAAAAUUCGUUGGAUAGGUGCAUCACGAAAUCGGUACUCAAUCCCUUGCUUGUUCGUGGGAUGGGAGUAUCUCCUAUUAGCGAUGCUCAGAUUUCAAUGGAAGGAAGAUAGUUAUUCCAAUCACUUUUCUCGAUAGGCAGGGCGGGACUCAAGAAACCUGCGUACGGCAGGGCUAGGUUACCAGCGUACGGGCAAGAGAAAUUUUAUCUUCUCGUCAGGUCAUUAGAGGCUCCUCUGGAGGCCAUACAAGAAGGAUCCUUAAUUCAUUGCAAGGCAUUCUCCAAUCCCCAUUCACACUCUCCUUAUUCAUACAUCAGUUCAGCUACAACAAAGAAGAUAUCCUCCCAUUGGUUAGUUGGCUCCCUGUAUGGUUGGUACCUGCUUUCCCGUAAGUCUGUACGGAGAAUCAAUAAAGGCAUCCGCAGUGGAAUCAAACUCAUAAGGGACAGGAUCACCACCAUUCGGUAGACCAAACACCCUAUGAACACUGCCGGCAUGAGAUAUGAGUCGUUAGAGCACAUAUCUCCGUGAUCCCUUCCACAGCUAAACGUAGAUCUCUAUCUUGUAGUGGAGUGUAGAGUAAAGAUAUACCGGAGCGGAGUGCAAGAAGGUUAUAGGGGAGUGUGGCGCCCGCUUGCCCGCCUUUCGUCUCGGUUGAAAAACAAAACCGUUGCUUGCUUUGUGGCCCUAUCGCUUAAGGUUCCUUUUGAGUACGAUCAUAUUAGUGAGAUGAGGCAUAUCUAGAUCCAUCUGAAUCGAACACCCAAACUCAUACCUAGAUUAUAGGAGAGAUCGACAUCUAUAUCAGGGUACACCCAUCUUUCCAAUCAAUUAAAGAAUCGGUGGGUACUAGACUAGAGCCAGGAAUCGAAAGAGAAAUAAAUCGGGAACUUCAGUACUGCAGGCUGAGGACAGUGGUUAAAGAGAGUCAGGGAAUUAUUGGUAGCAUCAAGUUUUUUCUUCUAAUUUCUACUAUUUCUUCCAGGAUCAAAAAUAUUUUACUUGGUUGAGCUUUGUCAACAGAUUGGCAGUGAAAUAGAAACUUUUCUAUGGUGAAAUAUUAGAGAAUAACUAUAUAAAAUAAAAAAUAUCUCUUUGAGAUUUCCCCGCUGGCGCUCGCUCAAUCCGUUCACCAGGGUUCCUUUCCUUUCCUUUACGGUCGAGCUACUUCUCGUUCAUCAUCAAGUGGUUUCAAUUAUAAGAAUAAUUAUACUAGUGAACUAACAAUUUGGCUUUUCAAAGUUCGUUUAAGAAAAUGCAAUGAAAUGUUUAGCAUCUAGUUUAGUGGGUGCUUGCCUAUGGUUCCAUUUAUUAAUUAAUCAAACCAUUUCCUUUUCAUGCCAUCCAUCGAAUUUAAACUUUAUCGUUAUCAUUGGCUGGAAUGAGAAUAGCUGCAGGAUCCAGAUCACCAUUUGUUGUAUCAUAGUUGGAAUGGCUAAAAUAAGACAUUCUUGAAGAGCUAUAUAUUAUUUUUGCUGAUCAAUGAUGAGCACAAUAUCAGGUAACCCUUUUGGAAUGAAAAACUAUGACUUCGUAGUUUUCGUUAGUAGAAACCUAAUUCAUUAAAAUUCCGUCCAGUAAAACGGAAGAAUUAUAAAUUUCUAAAAUAAUAGAUAGGAAUACCGCGAAUAAAGCCAUUGCGACCCCCAUAAAAGGAGUAGUCCCCCAACCCGGAGCUACUUUCCCAUAUUCCGAAUUAAUUGAUCAUAACGAUAUCGUGGAAAUGCUGCACGGACCCAUAUAUAUAGAAACAGAAAAAGAAGAACCUUGAUACUAAACCAGAUCGAACAAGGGAUCUUCUUGGAAAUGGGAAGAUCUAGGAUAGGCGGCCAACCUCCUAGAAAGAGCGAUGUGCAUAGACCGGGUGAGUAGGGAUGCAGCUCCGUGGACCGCUCGUCGGGCCUGAUAGGUGGUGGUAUCACACCCUUCUCCAAGGAACCGUACGUGAGACUCUCGCCUCAUACGGCUGCGUCCUGGAAUCUGGACAGUUUUGUCUUUUGUGCCGAAGCUAUUUAUAAAGCACAGGCCGAAACCGGUGAAAUUAAGGGGCAUUACUUGAAUGCGACUGCAGGUACAUGCGAAGAAAUGAUUAAGAGAGCUGUAUUUGCGAGGGAAUUAGGGGUUCCUAUUGUAAUGCAUGACUACUUAACCGGGGGAUUCACCGCAAAUACUAGUUUGGCUCAUUAUUGCCGCGACAACGGCCUACUUCUUCACAUUCACCGAGCAAUGCAUGCAGUUAUUGAUAGACAGAAUAAUCAUGGUAUGCAUUUCCGUGUAUUAGCUAAAGCAUUGCGUAUGUCUGGGGGAGAUCAUAUCCACGCUGGUACAGUAGUAGGUAAGUUAGAAGGGGAACGCGAAAUGACUUUAGGUUUUGUUGAUUUAUUGCGCGAUGAUUUUAUUGAAAAGAUCGUGCUCGCGGUAUCUUUUUCACUCAGGACUGGGUAUCCAUGCCACGAAGCAGCUUCUCUAAUAACCCCGUUGAAUAGGAGGGCGAAGGCUUUUUCGAACUUAUUUAUAGAGGGGGGCUUCGACCUUCUUAGGAAGAGCCGUACGAGGCUGCUCACAUACGGUUCGGGAGCCGAGCCACGAGUCCAAUUUGAAGUUGUUGAUGUUUAUAUUGGUCAAUCAUAAAAUAGAAAUAAGAAAAGAAUUUAUAUUUAUUCUGAUCAAACUUCUUCCCUAUUAACCUGGAAGUUCUUCUGAGAUACAAGGAAAUGGUUCGUUUUUUUGCUUUUUAGCAGUAAUCAGAAAGUUAGCUCUUUUUCCAGACCAGUGGCCUUGGAGUUCAUCCCCGUCCUCUGCCAGGUGAGAAGGAAGAUGAGAGAUAUGUUCCUUAGAAGUCGUCUUCAACUUUCUUCCAGGAAAGCCUUUCACCGAGUGAGCAGCAGUAAGAAAGGGUUUAGCUAAUGGAGAAAUUGACUCUUCCGAGAACCAGUAACGCGUAAACCAUGUCAAACCAAGACCGAUCAAUAUCCGAACGGAACGGAUAUACCAGUAGUAGAGUGGCUUGAAUCAAAUCGUUUGUCUAGAGGGAGUGUAGCGAUAACCAAAGCUGACUGUACUAGAAACUUUAGAUCCUGUCCGCUCAUAGCACGAUGGAAUUGCGCAAUUGUAGCCCGACGCGCUGCUUCAAUGGCUCGAUAUGAAAGACGACCAGCUCUACAACUUUUGGCCGGCAAAGAAAACCAACACUUAAGACGCUAUUGGAGACUAGCGUAGCUAUUAUUCGAAGCUUAUUAAUUUCUUUACUGCGUUCAAGGCAUGACCGCGUGAUAGGUGUCCUUUUCCCCCUACUCAAGAAGAGUUACAUCUAAGUUCCGAUCGUAAUAUGACAAACAAAUCUUACUUUUUCUUUCCCAAGCUGGCGCGGCUCGGCAAAAGUUGGUUCACUGACCAAAGACGACUUCUUUGUUCUUCAGUAGUUUCCUCCUUGACUAAGCACAUGCUUAAAGAUUUAAGUUCUAAAUAAUUCUAGGUAGCAUAUAAGAACGAGACCUAAGCUAUAAGCCCUAUAAAAGACUGUGCUGAUCGCGCAACUGAUCAUAUCCAGCGACCAAGCAGAUCAACUAGAAGGUCAUAUGUCCACCCGCCCUUUCCUUUGAGAAAUCCUAUUCCUAUCGAUUUAGCUGCAUAGGCAAUACGACAUUACUAUGAAUAAAUGACGAGCGAAUGGUGGCAGUACCAAAUGCCGAAUUAGCGGCUGUACCAAAUGAUCAAUGCCUCUGGGGUUUCCCUUCUCUUCAGCCCUUUUGCUCUUCUAACAACAAUGGUGAACGGCCAUUUGUCAAGGCCCCGGAAUCCGCUGGACAUCCCAGCGGCGGGAUUCGAUACCCGCAUCAGAUCGAAGUGCGGGCUCACUGAAAACCAAACUGUUCGUAUUUCUUUAAAACGCUGCUGCCCUAGCCGGGGGUCUGUCUAUAGAAGAAGGGAAUCCAGAGGAAGAAGCAGCUCCCCGAAGGGUUACCGAAAACUUUGUGAAAAUACUUCUACGAGAAGGUUUUAUUGAAAACGUUCGAAAACCAUAGGGAAAGUAACAAAUCUUUCUUGGCACGUGCCCCUGCUCCUGGUCUUCGAACUAGUCAUUAAUGGUCGGCAACAUAGGUACCCUUUUUCAGUAUGCGUUGCGAACACUUUCAUUUUUAGCGUCUCAUCUUCUCUGGAGAAGCUCAAAUCGGCUUGGGUGCAUCAAAACUUGCAAUACGAAGAUCCCUUUCAGAUCAGCAGGAGGAGCAGGUUGCACCACUGGUUGGGGAGGAAUUCGCGCAGCGGUUUCGAAGACUGAAGCACUUCUUGCAAGUAUCAACAGGUCAGAAUGCCAAAUAAGAGUUUCUUGUGGUCGAAAUCAAAUGGUAACCAGUUUGAGGGGUGAUUGAUCACUAAGCGACAUAUGGCACGAAAAGGAAAUCCAAUUUCGGUAAGACUUGAUCUGAAUCGUAGUUCAGAUCCAAGUCGGUUCAGUGAGGGCGCCCCGACCCAUGUUCAAUCACUGAAGUGUGGUUGAGUGAGAUGAUCCGCAACCAACAAAUGAUUUGUCAUUGUCUCUAAAUCACUGAAUGAAUUCGUUUUUUAUUUAUAUAUGAGAACUAGAGAGUUCACUAGCGCAGAAGGGGAGACCAGAAAAUGCCUUUUGUUUUCCCCCCUUCAGCGGCCCUAGCCGCCUUCGUUAACGAGCCCUCGAGCCUCCUUUGCGCCGCCUUCCUCAUAGAAGCCGUUGGGUUGACCCCGAGGGCCGAAUUCAAUGGUAGAGAAGGCUUUAAUAAGAAUUUGGCCAUGAGGAUAGGCUGGCCCUUACGUAAGGACUAUAUAACACCCAAUUUCUAUGAAAUACAAGAUGCUCAUUGAAUGAUAAGAAAUUCAUGCUCACUUAUACAACACAACUCCUGAUUUUAUUCAAGUCAUUUUUUGAGCAACUAACGCGAAAGCCGUUGCGCGUUAGCGCAUUCGGAACCACACAUUUUUAUACGAUUUUCGGAUCAUUUGAUUUUCAUUUUGAAAACUUUAAAACCUUAUCAGAGAGGGGCCACUAAGGCUGGAUGUUGGCUUCAAGAAAUCUCCUUUAGCAGAUCUCUAGACAGAUGGAUCUUAUAUGAAUCGUAUGAUGAAGUACCACAUGAGUGGAUAUAUAGGAAAGGAAUCCAAAUCUGCCGAAUCGCUCAUGUUAUGAUCUUCUACAUCCAAGGUCUCCGCGUAUCUAUAGCACUAUUCCUCAAUCCACCCGAAGUUAGAGCUAGGCUCAUCGGGCUCGCUUCUCAAUACAAUGCCUUUACCACUGAUUGUUAAUAGAGGCUUCUCAGAAGAAGAACAACAAAAAGUUGUUUCGAAAAAUUCAAGUACCGGCCACACUUCAGUAUCCAUAGAUAUAGAUAGGGCGGAGGCCUUACUACACGAGCUCGUAAGUCAAGCACGGAACGAGCCUUGUCUACGAAGCUUCGCUUCAUCAUCUUGCUUGCUUCUGGCGAAGCUUAACGCACUAUAGUCAGUGAUCUUUUCCAAGGUGUCUAGAGAAACCUGCUUUGAAAAUGUCAUUCGUACCCAAGGAAAGUUUUGGCAGGCAUUACUGUGAUCUUGAAGCCCUUGCUAGGAGCUAGUCGGUACGGCUCACUACUAAAGAAGGUUCUGGCAUGCUUCGAACCGUCUACUUUUCCUUAUCCUUAUGGGAAUUUAAGAGAGAGAUCACUCCACUGAGUAACCGAGAGAGAAGAUUCAGGCAAGUAUGCCGUGCCCUAUUUAAAAUAGAGGCAACGAACGGAGCGUCCCAUCGACUUUACUUUGGCCAAUGAGACUACUAUACGCGUUUUCCGAGGAGCAACAUGAUACUUUCUUUUCCGAGACAACAGAGUUUAGAAAGAUGGAAGCAAAUCAAAGCUAAGGGAAUCUUACUCGACCGAGAGGAAGCGAAGCGCAGACUGGAAAGCAGGAGUUCAGUGAAGUAUGCCUUAGCUAGUUCAAAUACAAAUCUCCCUUUUCUUCAUUUUUGCAUUUCUUAUUCCGCUAUUCCGAAUAUCGCAAAAAUAAAUUAGACAAUAAAUAGAGAAAAGUGCUCACCCCUCCUUUCUCAGUGAGAAGAAUAUUCCCACAUAUACAUGCGGAAGUCGGUCGAGAGCACAGAGCCGGCAGGAGUACUUUGCAAGUGCACCAAUGCCAAAGCUGGACCUUCCUGUUUUUGCUGGUAGCAACCCAGGUGUACCAGGUUUGGGUCAUCGAUAUGGAAGCAGCUAGCUCACUUUCGUUAAAAGCAAAGAUGAUUAUCCACCGUUAGUUAGUAAUGUGGGUUGGCUUGGAUUACUUAGUGUUGCGCGCCUAGGAGGGCAGCGCGCUUGGGGUGCGGAGGAGCUAUUAUCGCCCAGCUCCCUAACCUAAUGCGGCGCGGAUAAUGGUUUGGUAUGUAAGUACUAUAGUUUGGUAGGUUUGAAUUGUGUGGCCAGGGGUAUUGGUUACGAUUCCAGUGGUCUUCAGGCGAGUUGACAAAACUACCCCUAUGCGCAAAAAAUGAAGCUGAUGUGGUUGUUUUGAAUCCAAGAGUGGUGAGUCCAAUCUGUAACUCCAAUUUCCAAUACUGAAAAGCCAAGCCUACUAUUCUUUUUACCGGCGCUUCACGACUUACCACAAAACUAGAGCCGGCGGCAUAAGAUGAAGCCCUAGACAUUCUGCCUGUCUGCUUAGACUCUUUCUAAGUAAGAGAGAGCUCGUUCUAGCUUUGUCAAUCGUGGAAUGAGCAGCUCCAUCCUUACUGUCCUGGUGAAUUAAUUGGGUAAUUAAUGAGCACACUGACUCGGACGGAUUUCAAAUUCCUUUUUCCUUCCUUUUUACGCCACCUCCACCCAAUCCUUGAAGAUAUGAAGCAAUCUUUUAUUAAGACUAAGUGAAGGUUGGUAUGGCCCAAUCCGGAAUCUCGAUCAGAAACCACCAGGCCAUGUCUCCCGAUAAAAGAUGAUCCCCACAAUGGAUGUCAGGCCUUGGCUUCAUAAAAUCUGAUUGGAUCCGCACUAGAGGAUAAGAAUAUAGAUAGGCUGACUAAGAAGAUCUUAAAAUUGUCUUACCUGAAAAGAUGAGUUAUUCAAAGGAAUACCUGAAGAAUAGAAUAAACACAUGGCACAGCGGGCGGGGGACUUGAAAUCCUCUUUAGCUUUGCGCGUUGGACUCUAAAUCCUAACAGAGUGGUUCGAUUCCACCUCAGAACGACCUUCACGAAAGUGAAAAAUCUUCGUCCUACCAAAACUGGAUCUUGAAAAGUGUUCAGUGCCCAACAAGCAACGGGUUGAGCGCACUAGCGCGAAAGCGUUAGCACGCGCAUCCGUUUUCUUGCUUGCCUUGCGAAUUUGCAAAGGACUAACGAGAUUGUUUCUAUCGCCAAGAUGAGCCGCUUCGGGCUCAGGAGACUAUGGUGGUCUAUGAUCUAAUAACUGGUGGUGAGACUGCGGCUCAAGUCCACGUCGUGAGAAAGACUGAGCUAUUCUGUACUUUUCUAACCCUUUGAAGGAUGAAGAUGGCGAAGGAGUAUUGAAAAGAAUGAAUCCGGGUUUUAGCGCUCCUUGAAUCUGGCCUAUACGUAGUGUAAGCCGCCUGCGGCUGCUAAAGGCAAGGUAUGAGGGUGAAAGUAAGCGAAGCCGAAGAUGUGUAUGGUGAGUCGAUACUAAAGCAAUCCCGGAAUUUUUCAUUGGAUGGCAGUAAAGAGUCUCCUUCCCGAACCUGAUAUGCGAACAAACAGGGUUAGCGGAAACAGGAAAUGUAGUAAUUCGAGUAAGUCCAACCUUCAAGGAAGAAGGAAGGCAAUCCGUCGCUUGUUCGUUGCAAGUUCUUAUUGCUCCGGAUCCCCGUUUACUAGGAAGAUAAGAAUCAAAAGGAUCGAACUACCUACUCAUUAUUCGGAGAUGAAUCAUAGAACACUAAUCCUGCUUUUAGUACAUUGCUUUUCGUAUCAUCUAUGAGAAUUCUCGUUUCAGAAACUCCUCAAUAUUGUCGUUAUGGCAAUUCUAACCAUGUAGAUUUUAUUACCAAAUUGUAGUUUUUUCUUUUGCCAAUUCCACGCCUCUGUAAAAAAAUGCCUAAAAGGGAGGGCGAGAGUUGAAGUGGAUGGCCCUUCUAUCACCUGAAAGGCUGAAACUCAGGCAUGGCUUUACAUGGCACACAUGCUUUCUUUCAGGCUGUUUUGGCUCGCAAUAAAGCUAGGGUCCUGAUCGAGCAAGACUGCCCCUGUCGGUCCCGAUCAGUCCCAUUGACCGUGAAGCCUGCUCUCGAUUUGUAGUCCCCGUGCAUGAAGUCAGUGGAUUCGAGUGAACUGACCGUACUACAAAUCGACAUACUUGAGAAAGCUUCUUACUAAACCAAAGAAAGGGCAGCUCCAGUUGUGUUGUCGAUUCCCUUCUCCCGAGAGCUUUCACACUCUGGGAUGGGAGUCCCUUCCAAGACUUGACCAAAAGCUUAUCUCUUGAAUCCCAGAGAUAAGAGCGACAACCAGGCGUACCUCAUCUUUCCCUAUUGAAGCAAAACCAGUGGUUUCUUGGUCACGACCAGCUAAAACAAAAGUUCCAUUAAAGAGAGUUUCCACGUGGUAGUAAUAGACGACCAUUUCGCGCGGUUCGGGGGCACUUGAAUAAGCCGCCGGCCCCCGGCUGCGUCUUUACCCCUAUCCAAUUUUCCUCCCAAUCGAAUUGUUAAGUAUGUUUUUUCCCUUUCGAGAAAUGGUGGCAGUACCAAAUGCCGAAUUAGCGGCUGUACCAAAUGAUCCUGGAUAGAGUCUCGCUCAUAAAGGAAGAGGAGCGCGCUAGCGCGGCUCGCUUCGCUUUUCGACGCGGAGCUCGCUGCUGUUGAAGCCUGCUUCUGGUUCUGAAUCACAAGCAAGCCUAAUAAGAGUUUCUUUUCAUCUUACAUGAGUUGGCAAGGAGUUGUUCUUGGCAGAUCUCUCCCCUGCUUUAUUGCGAGCCUUGACAGGUUACAUUGGCAGAAAUAUGGAAACUUCUCUUGGCAGGUUAUAUGGAAACUUCUCUUGGCAUAUGACUUCCAUCUUUCUAUGGAUUUUCUGGUUCUGAAUCACAAGAACCUCAUCCCGGCAGCGAGACUGCGUUCACUCGAAACAAAAAUAGACGAGUACUAUGGUAGGAACGCUUCAACUGCAGAGCCCUGAAUGCGUUAGUGAGGUUCCCUCUAUGAGAGAAAGAGAGGUUGGUGAACCGGCGGAUCCGUUUGCAACUCCUCUGGAAAUAUUACCCGAGUGGUACUUCUUUCCCGUGUUUCAAAUACUCCGUACAGUACCUAAUAAGUUAUUGGGCAUUCUCUUAAUGGUUUCUGUGCCGACGGGCUUAUUGACAGUACCUUUUCUAGAGAAUGUCAAUAAAUUCCAAAAUCCGUUUUUCAACUGGCUCUAAUGCAAAUUUAUAAAAUAAAGAAGAGUUCCGUCAAGCGUCGUAUUAGCUUUGUUUGUUCAGAGCUAUGUACCAUGAUCUUCCCUUCCCCCGGCACAAUGUUUGAUGCUUCUUGGGGCUUCUUUGGCGACCGUGAAGUCACCGGAUGAAUUGCCGAGUAGAUAGAUCAGAUCCGGAUGCUGCAGUUGUUCCGCGGUGAUACGGACUCGACCCGCGGACGACAAUAGUCUUUCUCUUUUUUCACUCGAGCCAUACCGAUGCUUUGGACUCCUUGAUGCCAAGGGAGGUUUAUGAGUUGUAUCCUCCUUACGAGAUAGCGGAAGUAGCAUUAGCAGGAAAAGUAAGCUCCUUUUCAAGCCUUCUCUUUCGUAACCUUUGAUUAGUUCCUUGGAUGCCCUUAGCAAGAAUGAUGCAGGAGCAAUACCAAAGUGUUUCAAUGAAGGAUUACCUUGACUUAGGUCUGCCUCCGGCCUAAAUUAAAUCAACCUAAGUUAAAUGGAGUCUCUAUCGUUCUGCUGCAAGAGUGGAAUAUGAGACUUCAUACACCUUAAAGUUUAUAGAACGAAAAGAAUUUUUUUGGAGGUCCUCAUUACGCCUAGCAUUUAGUGGGCUGGAUAUUUACCUUUGAAACUAGCAAAUCAAUAAGGGUUCUAUUUGAUUAGGCACCUGAAUCGGACUGAACCUGGAUCCAAUUUUAAGGACAAAUCCUGAUGUUGGUAAAAUAUACGUGUAGAUCAAGGCCAAGGACAAUGAAGCAGCCCUCCCCUUGUAGCUGGGGUAGACUGGUAGUAGUUUCACCUAUAAAAUUUUGCAUUUGUGGAAUGUAGGUUGGAACUACCUGUUCCGGGAUUGUAGAAAGGAAGGGCUCCACAGUUGAAACUACCUGUUCUGGCAUUUCCGAAAGGAAAGGCAGGACAGCUAAAAAUAAUUCGCUGUCAGCCGCAGUAUAGAUACUUCGAGUUUUGGUAACUCUGGAAGUAGCGCUACAGAUUGAAGUUUUUCUGCACCCGAUUAUCAGUUCUCGUCGACCACCGUGACGUCACCUAGCUUUAUUCUAAAUUUAUCAUUCUAUCGGUAUGUAUAGUGUCUUUCAUCUGCUUUUUCAUUCAUUCUGCCCACAGCCCUCCACAAACUUUGGUAACUCCAACUUCAACCUCGAUUUUAUUAAUAACUACUUACGAGACCUUCUUUGGUACAUAUCCCUUAUCUCAAGUUUUUGAUCAAACCAAUCCAUUGACACAAACGUAUGCUGCCUUGCCUGAUCUUACUAGAGUGAGUUUCCUUCGCUAACGAGAUGAUGCAUAUUCUCACUCUGGACUAUUCCCAGAUUUACAACCAACAACUAGUCUUAUCUCAUGGGCGUAAAAAGACAUCAUAGAUAACAACUAAUUCUCAUAAAGUUCUUUCGGUUCAAGGGAGGGUUACUUACAAGUGGAGUCUGGCGAGGAUCUUUUGUUUCCUUAAGAACAAUCCUAAUCACAUAUCCAAACCAAAGAAGAUGAUAUUUAUUUGAUAAAGCGCAUUCUAUUAUCGUAUUGCGACACUGCUCCUAUCCCUAACGCUAGCUCUGUUGACUUCAUUCCUUGUCGGUCUAUGGCACUCAUUUAGAUCAAUAAAAGGCCGCUUUACAACCAGGGCGGGUCUCGCUGCCGGAUCAAUGCGCAGGACGCACGAUCUACAAACAACAAUAGAGAGAGCCAACCAAGAACGAAAGAACCUGGAAACAAACCCGCGAGCGAAUACCAAACAGAGUAAGAAGGAGGAAGGGCCGAAGGCGUUGGCAUCCAACAAUGUUGGAUGAGUGGAACAGAAAGGAAUGGCACGGAAAGGGUUUUAGGGAACUAGAAUAAAGAUAAUUAGUUUUCAUAUUUUUCAAUAUAAAUAUGAAUUUAUUACGAAUAGGAAUUAUGAAUUGGUACUAUUAGUAGGGAAGGAAGGGCUUCCUCCCCUCUUCUUCCAAAGCAUACGGCUUUCUAGAUGUAUAUGACGAUCUCUAGACAGAUGGAUCUUAUAUGAAUCGUAUGAUGAAGUACCACAUGAGUGGAGGGAAGGUAUAGUUGAAGGUAUGAGGAUGAGGAUUAGAAUUUCAUUCCAUUGCUUUGUUAGAGGGAGAGGAAGCUUCGAUUGGGGGAUACAAUAAUUCCAAUCUUCUGCACGAUCCUUUGGAGCCGGGGGUUGGAUAAAACACAGAACUAAAUCGACUUCCUUACCAGCAUGUCUGGGAUUCCUGUGGUUCUUACUGCCCCGGUGAAUGUGUAGGUACGAAUGACUAUCAAAGAAAGUGAGACCUGGAAUUCCUCCUUCUAUGCCUCCUCAUCUGUCUCGCCUGCAAAUCCUGCUAACAGCCUAGUCUAUUAGGAAACAGCUGAUUCAAUUGCUAAAACUGCUGUUUGAGAAGGGACUAACGGCACUGGCUCUUUCAAGUCUUUCGUGCGGGUAUACGUUGAGCUAGUCCUCUUACUCCUUUUCUUAGCUCUUUUAGAAAAAAUCUUAUUUUUCAUCGUGUCAGGUCUUGGAUGUAGACUCGGCUAUGGUAGGAUCGACCUAAUUGUGAUCAUUCUCCGCUUCGUUCGCUGAUCUCUUGCUAUUGCUGCAGUCCAUGGUCCGGUAUGGAAUGAACUUAUAAUCUGAUGAUCGAGUCGAUUCCAUGAUUAUAAGUUCAUUACCCUAGCGCCCAUUCCCAUUUUGGGCUGUUACGCCAGAAAUCCAAGGUUCCACACGAGCUCCUGUUCUGCGGCGUGGUGGCAGGACCGCUAGGGGAUUGGCUCCGGGUGUAGGUAGGGUCAAAUCCGCAGGGGUCAUGCAAAUACAUAGGCCCCUUCCCUUCUGCCGAGUUGUUUAGAAGGCGCUUUCCGUUCUACGGUCCCUCGGAGCGAAGGGUUAGGCAGGUAGUACGGGCCCUCUGACUUCCAGCUAUGCGCUGUGUGCGACUCCCGCGAAGCGAAUGAAGGGAAGCUCUUCGAGCUUUCUCCGCCUACUGACUCACUUUUAGGACAUAUUUGUACAUCUUUUGUCUCUAUCCUAGUCAACUGGUACGCAUGGCGUAAAUAAAGAUGACCCGACCACCCCUGUUCACCUUCCUCAAACCCAAUUCAAAUGAUGGCUGUGAAAGUCAGAAUCCUGAUGUCUCCAUUGACAAUAUCGACACCAAACCUUCUCGUAAUUCACAAUGCCAGAAUUUGGCUUAGCUGGAUUUGCGGAUGGCGGGGAAUUCAUUGACUAACUUGGCCUUGAUUGAUGAUCCAUCAACUCGUGGCUUUACAUUGAGAACAAAGCUUUGCUGACCCUUGCUAGGCUCAAGUCAAUUUAUCAAGUUUAGGCAUUUCGAUUUGGAUUUAAAAUAAAACCUUCAAGACAGAAAAAGACUCCCUUUUCUUCCUAUUGAUCUUGACGUCGGAAAUGGUUGGUUUUAAUGCUCGCACAGACGAAAUAGAACACCGGAUUGGACCUUAGCCGCUCGGGAAUAGAAUCCUUCACCACCCCAUUGGAAAAGUUGAUCUUCUAAAUUCAUAUGUUUAGCCUAAAGUACAUAACUUGUGUUCCUCCCUAGUUCUUGCCAUGCCACCUAAUCAAGCCUCACCUCAUUUGUAGUUAUAACAUGUUCAGCUGAAAGCAAACUAAAAAAAAAAGGCACUCCUCAGCGAGGACGCGGGUUUUAAAGUAGGUUCUACACAUUCGAGAAGACCCAGGCGGAUUGGAGUGGUUGUGCGCCGGGGCAAUCUCUGCUUGCGUUUUCCAAUAAGUUCUAUUGCUUUGACACAUUUAGUAUAUAACUGAAUAGAAAACGGAAUAAAAGCGGAUAAGAUAGCGUAUUAGGCCGACAAGUAGGAAGCAUAGCGGGGACAAGUUAUUACCGGUUUGAGGGGACAAUGGUUUUCUAGGUUGUUUCACCAAUCUGUUGAAUUGGAAUGGAGCUCACGACCGUGAAACCCCUCGUUGUUUGAUGGCACCUAUCUUGUUCCCUUCAGGGAGAAAUACUACUCACUUUUCCUCUAUCAAAAAGCCAAUACCGACGCUCGCUUAUCAGCUUACCAGUUCAAACCUCCUUGCUCUGCCUUUUAUACCAGAUGCCUCCUCUCUUAAACCAAGGCAUACUCUACUGGCUUUCCUUCUCUAAACUAUUCUUUAUCUGCUAUCUAUGCUAUUCCAUGCAUACUUGAGCUACAGCCUUUUUCAACCUUUUGAACUGAUUCCGUAUCUAGUUUGUGUCUUAUUAUUAAACUAUUUUAUUUGGUGUGGUGGAGAAGAAAAAUGAAACCGCGCGAUUGAAUCCACAAUUUGACUGAGGACAAGACGCGCUGCUAAUGCUAGUUUCAGUAAGCCUGUCUCUUCUAGAGGAAAGCAAAGCUGGUAAGAAGAGCUCCUAUUUUCAUACUCUAAGCUUGGAUAAUCCGCAUCAAGAAGAUUCGAACCCCUGCUAGAGCCAAAGUAAUGAGAAAAUGACUUGUCACUGUGAAGCUAAAGGGUAUCAUACCCUGGGGAUUACAAAAUAACGAAAAAGUAAAAGUGACCGAGAUGCGAGGGAAAAACUUUUGUUUAACAUUUCCACCUAUUUGUUCGUUUACCAGGUUCAGCACGAAAUCAUAAAUAAGCUCUACCAAGGAUUGCCAUGCAUUUGGCACUGACUUUCCCCCGCCCUUUUUCGUAACAACUCCAAAUAAAGAUGGCACCAAAACGACAGUUACCGCCAUAGACAAGGAUUCAUUUGUGAAUGAUAAAUAAAAGUUACCCAUAUCAAGACCAAAUAAUGGAUCAAUGAAAAAUUGAUCCAAGGGGCUUGAAAUUACUGGUCCGCCGCCUCCAGGGAUAACUAUAUCGCCAUUCCUCCAUUCAGCCCGUCCCUUCCUUCCCGGAAAAAGGCUCUCUUGCAUCUUUUGCUUCCCCACCCGGCCUCUAUUCUAGAUUCACCGUCUUUGGAUGCAUCAGUUUAUUAUGCUUGGAAGCUGCUCGAUCACAAAUACCUAUUGCAUUCUUAGUUGAUUCCACGAUCCCAGGGGAAUCCCAUAAAAGAAUCACUUAUCCCAUCCCAGCGAAUGAUCCUAUACAGUUCGUAUAUCUAUUUCGUCAUUCGGUCACGAAAACAGGGAUUCUGGAACGUAAAUCUGCGAUCACGAAAACAGGGAUUCUGGAAUGUAAAUCUGUGCACGAACCCAUGCAAACAGGCUUAAAAGCAGUGGAUAGCCUGGUUCCUAUAGGCCGUGGUCGACGAGAACUUAUAAUCGGGGGCAGAAAAACUUCAAUCUGUAGCGCUACUUCCAGAGUUACCAAAACUCAAAGUAUCCACAACUCGCGGAUAGAAUUGAUUGCCCGGAAUCACUUAUUGGUUGGUGGUUGGAGUGCAUUUCCUAUAUAUACCUUUUCAUUUCUUGGUUGAAUUCCACUGUUAAUCUGGUUUCGCAAUGGAGCUAGAAAGAUUGGUCAACUACUUCUUAAACCCAAGCAAGCUGGGAGCUCCUGAUAAUCCCUUUUUGGAAAGGAACGCGUCCACCGUACUGGCUAUUUUCAUUUCGUGUAUAACGUAUCUAUCGGCAUGGCGUCGGGCAGGAUGGGAGUUAAUUAGGGUCGAGGGAGCAGGAAAGAGUUUGUUAUUCGCUAUUGGCUUAGUACGGCCUAUACAUAAUAGGGCCAUGACGGUUUUGGCAAGGCCUUGAACUUCAUAUAUCCCUUUUUUACUCAAUCAAGAAUACCGAUAAAGUCAGAUUGAAUCAUUUUUUUGAGCAAGAAAACGGAUGCGCGUGCUAACACUUUCGCGCUAGUGCGCUCAAUCCGUUGCUUGUUUGGGGACAGAAAAAGUUCCGUAAUUGUCCUAUUUUUUCGUUGCAUUUCCUUGUUUUUAACGGAAGCGAGAAAUGCGUAAUUAAUAUAUAGAUGUGAUGAUUCCAUGAAUCUCUGAAAAGGUAGGGGUCAAGGACCUUAUGGGACUGCAAUCGUGCCUGCCAAUUGGGGAAGGACGUGGGCCUGGCAACUGCUCGGCUCUAGUAAGGGAAACAGGUAUGUCUCACAUCAUUGCUCGAAGACUGGAAAAACUGCAAGUUAGCUCAGUUGGUUUAAAACGGCAUAUGUGAGUGACGCGAACUAGCAUUUUGAAUUGAGAAAGCCGGUAGCCGGGGUGUUCGCCCUUGGUCUACGCGGAUCAGGGGCCCAGCUAACGCGUGAAACACUCCGCCUGGGGAGUACGGUCGCAAGACCGAAACUCAAAGGAAUUGACGGGGGCCUGCAAUACUGGACAUUUGGUGAAGGCCGGAUGGGGAUAGCGCUCACCUGAUACUUGGACUCGAAGGGGAGCAGGUCGUGUCUCAAUAUCUUCAGGAGAGGGGAGGGCGUCGCGUAGGCAUAGUUCCAAUGGUAAGCUGAUUCCAGGUACGCCCGUUCCUCUACAUCGUUUGACUAUCAAAGUCAGGUCAAAUGUAGGUGAGUGUUGCGACUCAGUAGCCUACCAUCCAUAUAUAGGGAAUCCAUACCGUCGGCUUGUCGAUCCGGGAUCGCCCAGGAUCGGGUGGAAGGUCGGAGAAGCCAGUCUUCAGUGGUGCUUCCAUGGCAGUUGGAUAGUAGAUCAGAGAGGUAACUCUCGGGUGAGGCAAGGCAUAUUGAGAUUUCAGAGCCCACUUUAUUAAAAACUUCGAUUUGAAGCCGAGAACCCACCUGAAAACAAUCAUUUGACUAAAGAUCCGGUUUUGGUAGGACGAAGAUUUUUCACUUUCGUGAAGGUCGUUCUGAGGUGGAAUCGAACCACUCUGUUAGGAUUUAGAGUCCAACGCGCAAAGCUAAAGAGGAAUCUACCAGUUUUGCAUGAAGAUUCCGGACCUACCGAAUACCUUUUUUAAAAAAGGAUGGCUCAAGUAGCCGCUCUGGAUCUUGCUCGAUCUUCCUUGGCUUCCGUGCUCUUUGACACAACCAUCUUCAGUCUACCGCUCAUGUUCGACGCUAUUAUGGACCGAGAAGAGGAAUCAACGAAAAACCCAGGAAAGAGCUGCGAAAGAAAAGCGUGACGAGCAAAGUCAAGUCUCC
rnacentral:lncRNA from 1 species